rnacentral:rRNA from 1 species
CAGCGGCGCACGGGUGAGUAACACGUAGGUAACCUACCUUCAAGACUGGGAUAACCUGUCGAAAGACGGGCUAAUACCGGAUAACACCACUGGGGUCGCGGCUUCAGUGGUAAAAGAUGGCCUCUGCUUGCACGCUAUCACUGGAAGAUGGGCCUGCGCGCCAUUAGCUAGUUGGCGGGGUAAAAGCCCACCAAGGCAAAGAUGGCUAGCUGGUCUGAGAGGAUGGCCAGCCACACUGGGACUGAGACACGGCCCAGACUCCUACGGGAGGCAGCAGUGGGGAAUAUUGCGCAAUGGGCGAAAGCCUGACGCAGCGACGCCGCGUGGGUGAUGAAGGCCUUCGGGUCGUAAAGCCCUGUCGGGGGGGACGAAACCUCCCGGUGUGAAUAUCACCGGGACCUGACGGUACCCCCUAAGGAAGCACCGGCUAACUCCGUGCCAGCAGCCGCGGUAAUACGGAGGGUGCGAGCGUUGUUCGGAAUCACUGGGCGUAAAGCGCGUGUAGGCGGCCUUUUAAGUCUGAUGUGAAAGCCCGGGGCUUACCCCCGGAAGGGCAUUGGAAACUGGAAGGCUCGAGUACCGGAGAGGAAGGUGGAAUUCCUGGUGUAGCGGUGAAAUGCGUAGAUAUCAGGAGGAACACCGGUGGCGAAGGCGGCCUUCUGGACGGAUAC